rnacentral:rRNA from 1 species
UACGUAGGGAGCAAGCGUUGUCCGGAAUCAUUGGGCGUAAAGCGCGCGUAGGCGGCUCGAUCAGUCUGUUGUGAAAGUCAAAGGCUCAACCUUUGAAUGCCGAUGGAUACUGUCGAGCUAGAGUCCGGAAGAGGCGGGUGGAAUUCCUGGUGUAGCGGUGGAAUGCGCAGAUAUCAGGAGGAACACCACCGGCGAAGGCAGCCCGCUGGGACGGUACUGACGCUAAGGCGCGAAAGCUAGGGGAGCAAACAGG